rnacentral:rRNA from 1 species
UACGGAGGGAGCUAGCGUUGUUCGGAAUUACUGGGCGUAAAGCGCACGUAGGCGGCUUUGUAAGUUAGAGGUGAAAGCCCGGAGCUCAACUCCGGAAUUGCCUUUAAGACUGCAUCGCUUGAAUCCGGGAGAGGUGAGUGGAAUUCCGAGUGUAGAGGUGAAAUUCGUAGAUAUUCGGAAGAACACCGGUGGCGAAGGCGGCCCACUGGUCCGGUACUGACGCUGAGGUGCGAAAGCGUGGGGAGCAAACAGG